rnacentral:rRNA from 1 species
GAUGAACGCUGACAGAAUGCUUAACUCAUGCAAGUCGAUGGGGAAGUGGUGCUUGCACCAUGGUAACCAUGGCGGACGGGUGGGUAACGCGUAAGGAACUUACCUGCGGGACCGGGAUAACAGCAGGAAACUGCUGACAAGACCGGAUAAGGUCAUUAAGCUGCAUAGCUUAGUGAUGAAAGGAGACGCCUGCGGAGAGCCUUGCGUCCUAUUAGCUAGUUGGAGGGGUAACGGCCCACCAAGGCGAAGAUAGGUAGCCGGCCUGAGAGGGUGGACGGCCACAAGGGGACUGAGAUACGGCCCUUACUCCUACGGGAGGCAGCAGUGGGGAAUAUUGGACAAUGGGGGCAACCCUGAUCCAGCAAUUCUGUGUGCACGAAGACGGUUUUCGGAUUGUAAAGUGCUUUCAGCAGGGAAGAAGGAAGUGACGGUACCUGCAGAAGAAGCGACGGCUAAAUACGUG